UGGGAAAAAAUGAAGAAAGAAUAAGGGGAUGUUUGGUUCUAUGUAAAACUGUAGAAAAAAAAUAUUUCGGUGGAAAAAAAAUUUUUCAUGGAAAAUUUUUUUUGGCAUCUUCUAGUGUUUGGUUUGUAGAAAAGUAAAAACAGUUUUCGGACACACUUGUUUAGUUGAAAGAAAUUUUUUUUUAUAUUUUUUAUUAUAUAUUAUAUAUUAUUUAGAUAUAAUAAUAUAUUUAUUAUUAUAACUUAUAGGCUAAAUUACAGAAAACCUUCUGUCACAACCCGAUUUUUUACUUUCCUCCUAUUAUUUAAAAACCUACACUUUGUCCCCUUGUAAAAUGAAAAAUGUUCACAGGGGGAUACGGUGUGAACUGUGAUGAUAAAAUGAUCAUUUUGCCUUUCAUCAUUUUGCUCCUCAUCAUGUUCACACGAGAGAAGACUGAGAGCAUUUUUGACAUAAAAAAUAUAUAAUAAUAUUUUAUAAACAGAAUCCUAACGGAUUACUAACGGCAAGGAGUGAAGUGAAUAUUUUUCAUUUUACAAUGGGGCAAAGUGUAGGUUUUUAAAUGACAGGAGAGAAAACUGAAAAAUCGAGUUUUGACAGGAAAGUUUUAUACAUUUUAGCCUAGCUUAUAUUUAUAAAUUAAAUAUAUAAAAAUUACAUUAUAUGAUAAAUUGAUAAGUUAUGUAAUAGUAUGUAUACAAUAUUAUACAAUAUGUUGAGUUUGGUUAUGGUGCUUGUAAAAGCACAAAGCACUUGGUGUUUAUAAAUUUUUUACCGUUAGAUUUAUGCCUGUGAUUAUUUUCAACCGUUAGAUUAAUUAUACUAGUCAACCAACCACUCACUCAAUUCUAGGAGGUCUAUAUCGUCCUAACCGUACAUCUUUUAAUCUAAUGGCCAAAAAUCUAAAGCACCAAUAACUUGGUAGUUUUAAAAAUAUAGAAGCUCAAUUCCUAUAUAUAUAUAUAUAUAUAUAUAUAUAUAUAUAUAUAUAUAUAUAUAGGGAGUAGGUGAGUGGUCCAGUGUGGACCACUCACGCGGUCCACGAGCUCUCACACGAGCUCGUGGACCACGAUGCAAACGAAAAGCUUGCUUCUCUUUAGAAUCUGUAAAAUAAUUUUUCUCAAAUAUUAUUUUUACGUCAAAUCAAACACUAGAAAAAUAAUUUUCGGAUCCAAAAAUUAUUUUUUGAUAGUUUUUACAGAGAACCAAACACACCUUAAGAGAUGGAUUACGAUUUCUCACGGGGUAUUUCUGUAACAAAUUAAGAGGCAUUUAUGGAAAAUGUUACUUGUAUAUCCCAAAAAAAAUAAAUUUUACAUCCUUCGUCAUAAGUUUAAAAGUUUUUAAAAUUUUUAAUGUGUAUUUUUUAAAAAAUUGAUAAGAUGAUUGCUGUUGGAUAACGGAGUGUAAAAUUUACACUAUUUUUUAGAGUGUACCAAUAGUAGUGCUCGGUGUGUCUCUAUUGAUGGUUUUAUUUUUUUAG
rnacentral:lncRNA from 1 species